rnacentral:rRNA from 1 species
UGGGGAAUAUUGGACAAUGGGCGCAAGCCUGAUCCAGCCAUGCCGCGUGUGUGAAGAAGGUCUUCGGAUUGUAAAGCACUUUAAGUUGGGAGGAAGGGCAGUAACCUAAUACGUUGCUGUCUUGACGUUACCGACAGAAUAAGCACCGGCUAACUCUGUGCCAGCAGCCGCGGUAAUACAGAGGGUGCAAGCGUUAAUCGGAAUUACUGGGCGUAAAGCGCGCGUAGGUGGUUUGUUAAGUUGGAUGUGAAAUCCCCGGGCUCAACCUGGGAACUGCAUUCAAAACUGACAAGCUAGAGUAUGGUAGAGGGUGGUGGAAUUUCCUGUGUAGCGGUGAAAUGCGUAGAUAUAGGAAGGAACACCAGUGGCGAAGGCGACCACCUGGACUGAUACUGACACUGAGGUGCGAAAGCGUGGGGAGCAAACAGGAUUAGAUACCCGGGUAGUCCCUGAGCGGGCUGGCAAGGCGCAU